UACGGAGGGUGCAAGCGUUAUCCGGAUUUACUGGGCUUAAAGGGUGUGUAGGCGGAUUUUUAAGUCAGAGGUGAAAUCUCCAGGCUCAACCUGGAAACUGCCCCUGAUACUAUUAGUCUUGAAUAUUGAUGAGGUGGGCGGAACGGGUCAUGUAGCGGUGAAAUGCUUAGAGAUGACCCGGAACACCAAUUGCGAAGGCAGCUCACUGGGCAAUUAUUGACGCUGAGGCACGAAAGCGUGGGGAUCAAACAGG
rnacentral:rRNA from 1 species